AAGUAAAAGUCGUAACAAGGUCUCCGUUGGUGAACCAGCGGAGGGAUCA
rnacentral:rRNA from 2 species